ACUGGUUUCGACGGGGGAAUCUGGAGGCAGAGGCAGCGAGCCGGGGUUCCACCAGCCCGGAAUACGGUGGAAAGAAAAUAACCGCCAACGAAGAAUUGGCUCUGGCUGCUUAAUUAAGCGGCCCGUCCGCCCGGCCUCGCCUGCGGGCCGGCAACGGGCGUCACCCAGCAGGCCAAUCCGCUGCACCCUGCGCUCCAGGGGUGCAGCGGAAAACCUCGGAGCUGGCCGGAUGAGAGCCUGCCGGCGGGCGCUUUUUCCGGCGAGAACAAAACACCGGCUGCGCUCGGAGAAGCCUUUGCAGCCGGUCUUCCGGACAGGGGUUCGAUCA
rnacentral:tmRNA from 1 species